GUGCCAGCAGCCGCGGUAAUACGGAGGGGGCUAGCGUUGUUCGGAAUUACUGGGCGUAAAGCGCACGUAGGCGGACUGGAAAGUUGGGGGUGAAAUCCCGGGGCUCAACCUCGGAACUGCCUUCAAAACUAUCAGUCUGGAGUUCGAGAGAGGUGAGUGGAAUUCCGAGUGUAGAGGUGAAAUUCGUAGAUAUUCGGAGGAACACCAGUGGCGAAGGCGGCUCACUGGCUCGAUACUGACGCUGAGGUGCGAAAGCGUGGGGAGCAAACAGGAUUAGAAACCCCUGUAGUCC
rnacentral:rRNA from 1 species